GAUGAAGAACGCAGCAAAAUGCGAUACUUGGUGUGAAUUGCAGAAUCCCGUGAACCAUCGAGUUUUUGAACGCAAGUUGCGCCCGAAGCCUUUUGGCCGAGGGCACGUCUGCCUGGGCGUCACGCAUCGCGUGCCCCCCACAAAUUCUCCGUCAGGGGAGCUUGUGUUUCGGGGGCGGAUACUGGUCUCCCGUGCUCAUGGCGCGGUUGGCCGAAAUAGGAGUCCCUUCGAUGGACGCACGAACUAGUGGUGGUCGUAAAAACCCUCGUCUUUUGUUUCGUGCCGUUAGUCGCGAGGGAAGCUCUUCAAAAACCCCAGCGCGUCGUCUCUUGACGGCGCUUCGACCGCGACCCCAGGUCAGGCGGGACUACCCGCUGAGUUUAAGCAUAUCAAUAAGCGGAGGA
rnacentral:misc_RNA from 1 species